ACGCUAGCUACAGGCUUAACACAUGCAAGUCGAGGGGAAACGGCAUUAAGUGCUUGCACUUUUUGGACGUCGACCGGCGCACGGGUGAGUAACGCGUAUCCAACCUUCCCAUGACUAAGGGAUAACCUGCCGAAAGGCAGACUAAUACCUUAUGGUCUUCACUGACGGCAUCAGAUGUGAAGUAAAGAUUUAUCGGUUAUGGAUGGGGAUGCGUCUGAUUAGCUUGUUGGCGGGGUAACGGCCCACCAAGGCAACGAUCAGUAGGGGUUCUGAGAGGAAGGUCCCCCACAUUGGAACUGAGACACGGUCCAAACUCCUACGGGAGGCAGCAGUGAGGAAUAUUGGUCGAUGGGCGAGAGCCUGAACCAGCCAAGUAGCGUGCAGGAUGACGGCCCUAUGGGUUGUAAACUGCUUUUGUAUGGGGAUAAAGUCAGUCACGUGUGAUUGUUUGCAGGUACCAUACGAAUAAGGACCGGCUAAUUCCGUGCCAGCAGCCGCGGUAAUACGGAAGGUCCGGGCGUUAUCCGGAUUUAUUGGGUUUAAAGGGAGCGUAGGCUGGAGAUUAAGUGUGUUGUGAAAUGUAGACGCUCAACGUCUGACUUGCAGCGCAUACUGGUUUCCUUGAGUACGCACAACGUUGGCGGAAUUCGUCGUGUAGCGGUGAAAUGCUUAGAUAUGACGAAGAACUCCGAUUGCGAAGGCAGCUGACGGGGGCGCAACUGACGCUGAAGCUCGAAGGUGCGGGUAUCGAACAGGAUUAGAUACCCUGGUAGUCCGCACAGUAAACGAUGGAUGCCCGCUGUUGGUACCUGGUAUCAGCGGCUAAGCGAAAGCAUUAAGCAUCCCACCUGGGGAGUACGCCGGCAACGGUGAAACUCAAAGGAAUUGACGGGGGCCCGCACAAGCGGAGGAACAUGUGGUUUAA
rnacentral:rRNA from 1 species